UCGACGAACUCUGGUAUUGAUUGGUGCUUGCAUCAUGAUUUACAUUUGAGUGAGUGGCGAACUGGUGAGUAACACGUGGGAAACCUGCCCAGAAGCGGGGGAUAACACCUGGAAACAGAUGCUAAUACCGCAUAACAACUUGGACCGCAUGGUCCGAGUUUGAAAGAUGGCUUCGGCUAUCACUUUUGGAUGGUCCCGCGGCGUAUUAGCUAGAUGGUGGGGUAACGGCUCACCAUGGCAAUGAUACGUAGCCGACCUGAGAGGGUAAUCGGCCACAUUGGGACUGAGACACGGCCCAAACUCCUACGGGAGGCAGCAGUAGGGAAUCUUCCACAAUGGACGAAAGUCUGAUGGAGCAACGCCGCGUGAGUGAAGAAGGGUUUCGGCUCGUAAAACUCUGUUGUUAAAGAAGAACAUAUCUGAGAGUAACUGUUCAGGUAUUGACGGUAUUUAACCAGAAAGCCACGGCUAACUACGUGCCAGCAGCCGCGGUAAUACGUAGGUGGCAAGCGUUGUCCGGAUUUAUUGGGCGUAAAGCGAGCGCAGGCGGUUUUUUAAGUCUGAUGUGAAAGCCUUCGGCUCAACCGAAGAAGUGCAUCGGAAACUGGGAAACUUGAGUGCAGAAGAGGACAGUGGAACUCCAUGUGUAGCGGUGAAAUGCGUAGAUAUAUGGAAGAACACCAGUGGCGAAGGCGGCUGUCUGGUCUGUAACUGACGCUGAGGCUCGAAAGUAUGGGUAGCAAACAGGAUUAGAUACCCUGGUAGUCCAUACCGUAAACGAUGAAUGCUAAGUGUUGGAGGGUUUCCGCCCUUCAGUGCUGCAGCUAACGCAUUAAGCAUUCCGCCUGGGGAGUACGGCCGCAAGGCUGAAACUCAAAGGAAUUGACGGGGGCCCGCACAAGCGGUGGAGCAUGUGGUUUAAUUCGAAGCUACGCGAAGAACCUUACCAGGUCUUGACAUACUAUGCAAAUCUAAGAGAUUAGACGUUCCCUUCGGGGACAUGGAUACAGGUGGUGCAUGGUUGUCGUCAGCUCGUGUCGUGAGAUGUUGGGUUAAGUCCCGCAACGAGCGCAACCCUUAUUAUCAGUUGCCAGCAUUAAGUUGGGCACUCUGGUGAGACUGCCGGUGACAAACCGGAGGAAGGUGGGGAUGACGUCAAAUCAUCAUGCCCCUUAUGACCUGGGCUACACACGUGCUACAAUGGAUGGUACAACGAGUUGCGAACUCGCGAGAGUAAGCUAAUCUCUUAAAGCCAUUCUCAGUUCGGAUUGUAGGCUGCAACUCGCCUACAUGAAGUCGGAAUCGCUAGUAAUCGCGGAUCAGCAUGCCGCGGUGAAUACGUUCCCGGGCCUUGUACACACCGCCCGUCACACCAUGAGAGUUUGUAACACCCAAAGUCGGUGGGGUAACCUUUUAGA
rnacentral:rRNA from 2 species